AUUGUAACAAUUGCAAAAAUUGUAGUGUGCAAUUUGUGUGGAAGAGCUACAGUUAUUGUUCACCAUCAGUUUAAUUAUAUAAUUCAUCAAAGAUGCUAGUUAAGAUAGGAACUACGAGUAUGAUAUGCUUGUACUUAACUUUCUUAGCAAAUUGUGUAGUUGAUCCAACAAGGAUGAUGUUUUCGCGUUACACUUUGGUAUACGACGAGGUAGAUGCGAAGACACGGGAAAAGUUGGGGAAAAGUUAUUAAAGGUUAUAAUCAACCAUGUUGGACUGUAUUGUACGUAGUUUAAAGUCUACCUUUGUGAAGGAUUAAUGCCAUCUAAUAUUAUGGUAUACUGUUAUUUUAUGUAUACAGUAUGCUUGUGAACACAGAAGUCAUGGGAUUAUAAUAAAACAGAGCAUUUACAGGGAA